AUUGAACGCUGGCGGCAUGCUUUACACAUUCAAGUCGUACGAGUGGCGAACGGGUGAGUAAUGUAUUGUAACGUACCUAGUGCUGGGGGCUAACCAAUCGAAAGGUUAGCUAAUACCGCAUAUUAUUCGAGCUGCCAAUAUCUGAUUCGCUAUUUGGUGGGGUAAAGGCCUACCAAGGCGACGAUCAGUAGCGGGUCUGAGAGGAUGAUCGGACACACGGGAACUGAGACACGGCCCAGACGCGGAAGGGAGGCAGAAGUGGGGAAUGGUGGACAAGGGGAGCAAGCAUGAUCCAGCCAGGGCGCGUGGGUGAAGAAGGCCUUCGGGUGGGAAAGGAAUUUGGUCAGGGAAGCGGUACUGAAAGAAUAAGAACCGGCUAACUAAGUGCAAGCAGACGCGGUAAUAC
rnacentral:rRNA from 1 species